rnacentral:rRNA from 1 species
ACGCUAGCUACAGGCUUAACACAUGCAAGUCGAGGGGAAACGGCAUUAAGUGCUUGCACUUUUUGGACGUCGACCGGCGCACGGGUGAGUAACGCGUAUCCAACCUUCCCAUGACUAAGGGAUAACCUGCCGAAAGGCAGACUAAUACCUUAUGGUCUUCACUGACGGCAUCAGAUGUGAAGUAAAGAUUUAUCGGUUAUGGAUGGGGAUGCGUCUGAUUAGCUUGUUGGCGGGGUAACGGCCCACCAAGGCAACGAUCAGUAGGGGUUCUGAGAGGAAGGUCCCCCACAUUGGAACUGAGACACGGUCCAAACUCCUACGGGAGGCAGCAGUGAGGAAUAUUGGUCAAUGGGCGAGAGCCUGAACCAGCCAAGUAGCGUGCAGGAUGACGGCCCUAUGGGUUGUAAACUGCUUUUGUAUGGGGAUAAAGUCAAUCACGUGUGAUUGUUUGCAGGUACCAUACGAAUAAGGACCGGCUAAUUCCGUGCCAGCAGCCGCGGUAAUACGGAAGGUCCGGGCGUUAUCCGGAUUUAUUGGGUUUAAAGGGAGCGUAGGCUGGAGAUUAAGUGUGUUGUGAAAUGUAGACGCUCAACGUCUGACUUGCAGCGCAUACUGGUUUCCUUGAGUACGCACAACGUUGGCGGAAUUCGUCGUGUAGCGGUGAAAUGCUUAGAUAUGACGAAGAACUCCGAUUGCGAAGGCAGCUGACGGGAGCGCAACUGACGCUGAAGCUCGAAGGUGCGGGUAUCGAACAGGAUUAGAUACCCUGGUAGUCCGCACAGUAAACGAUGGAUGCCCGCUGUUGGUACCUGGUAUCAGCGGCUAAGCGAAAGCAUUAAGCAUCCCACCUGGGGAGUACGCCGGCAACGGUGAAACUCAAAGGAAUUGACGGGGGCCCGCACAAGCGGAGGAACAUGUGG